rnacentral:hammerhead_ribozyme from 1 species
AUUUAGCUGACGAGUCCCACAUGGGACGGAACGAAGUCCUGGAU